UGCAGCUAAGGCUGGGACAUGCAGACCCUCCAUAAAAUCAAAGCAGAUUUGUGUUUGGCUGGCUGACAUGGCAUGGAGCUGAGCCCUGCCUGGUCUCCCAAGGCUGGACGGGGGAGACCCAGACUUGGAACAGGACCCACCUACCAGAAAGGGAGCAGGAGCUCCAGGCACGCUCAGCUUCUGGUGCUUGGAGAAGCUUCAGUCUGGCAGGAAAGCUUGUGUCUGUGGGGACCACAGUGAUGGUGGGAAACAGAAUGUGUGGGGACAGCUGCAACAAGUCUCACCUUGUCAGAGGGGAGCUGUCAACUUUGGCAGAGACUGGAAAUCCUCAAGCCUAGGGUUGACUGGAAUCAGAUUUGGCUAUGCCCAUCAGCUGCUGGGCUGCUCUUCAGGGAAGCUUGGAAAGUUCCAGCGAAAGCCUUGCCUUUGAUCCAGAUGCCUCUGCCACGUCUGCACACGGAUCCUUUGUAGUGGAGACCAAGAUCUUUGUUCUCUAUAAACAACGGAGCGGCACUCUAGUUGGGCCCUUCCCUCUGCUGAGAAUUCCAAGUAGCACUUUAUCAUCCCUGAGUGCACCGUGUUGCUUUAAUGUCUGGCAGAGCAUGAAUUGUAAACACAUCAUUUAGACUUAAAGGCUGACCCGAGAUGGUGGCUGGAGCGUGGGCCCUGAAGAAAAGAGGAGUUUGGCUGAAAAUGAGCUGCUGAAUAAUUUAUCACACGUUGAAAAAGUCAAUACCUUAAGUGAGGUGUGGUGAAGCUCGGGAACUUGGAGGUAAACACUGAGAGGAUGGAAUUUUUGAGAGAACAUUAUCAAAAGGAAUGGCGCUUUGGAAGGAGCGGGAGGCACGGAGACCCUGACCAGGGGCUGGGGUGGAGAUGAGGCAUAAAAGGAGAAACAGAGCAGAGCUUGCCUUCAAGGCCAUUGCAUCUUGACUGGAAGAGGGGUUGGGCUGGAGAGCAGUUGGAAAUGGAUGAGAACAAAGUGAAUGAUGCUAAGUAGGAGUCCCAAGAAAACUUGAACAGUGGGCAGGGGAAAGCUUCCUGGAGGAGGGAGGACCCGGGAAGGGAGGAUUUGAUGAAGGGCGAGGAGCUAAAGGGAAUUCCAUCAGAAAGCCGUUAAGGUGCAGCAGAGGGAAGCUGAAGAGGCUGGUGGCGGCGCAGGUUGAAGAACACCAUGCCGAAGAAUGGAAAUGUGGUCAAGUUUGAAAUGGAGCCCCUGUGGAUUUUUUUGGCAGGAAAUUGACCUUCAUUCAUUUAUUCAUUCAGCAAACAUUCAGCAUAUAAUUGAGUAGGUGUGUUCCAGAUUCUGUGCUCAGUGCUGUGCCUGCCAUGGUAAGCACAAGACAGGCAUGACUGCUGACCUCACAGGACUUAUAUUCUGGUGAGGAAGGCAGAGAAUCCAUACGUAGUGAUACCAUUUCUUGUGCUAGGUGUUCUACAUGCACUAUCUCAAUCCUCACUGUGAGCUUAAGAGGUAGGUGAAAUAAUGAUCUCCAUUUUACAGAUUAAAAAAAACUGAGGCUUAGAGAGGCUAAGUGAUUUGCCCUAAGCAACCCGGUUAGUAAGUGGUGGAGCUACAACUCUCUAACGCUAUUAUGCAGUUAGGAUUUUGGGCUAAAUGUUUGGAUGGGGAGGUAGAUGGGGCCAUGGGCUGAUGUUGGACGCAUGACCUUGUUCAGGGGCUCAGGGAAGCUUUCUAGAGGAAGGGGUUAAGAUGAAACCUGUAAGAUGAGCUGGGGCAAUACGGUGAGUGGACUAGAAGGGGUAAAGGAGGAAGGUAGGAGAGGCCAGAUCUGACAGGGCUUUGAACGCCUGGCAGGGCGGCUAGACUUUGGCCUGAGGGCAAUGAGAAGCCACUGAGAUGGGAGGGAUUCUGAGAUGGGAGGGAUGGAGGGUGUGUGUGUGACAGAAUCAAUUUUGCGUUUUUAGGAGAUCACUCCGGCUGCUUUGUGGGGACUAGAUUGGUGGGGCCAGGAGUGCAGGCUGCGGCCACGGUGAGGAUGCCGAAAAGCAGGAAAUAAGCGAGCCAAUAAGCAUGUCAAAUCCUUUAACACUUUAUUCACAGGAGAGUCCCUCAGCCCCUCGCUCAAAGCCUUUCUUCCUCCUUUACAUCCAAUUCUAAUAACUCAGCUGUUUGUUUCCCCAAUUUAUAGGAGACUAAGAGUAACAAUUUAAGAAUUUGGGAGUACAGUGGGAUAAAACACUGGCAAUUGUGGAAAGCGGCAGCUUGAUUCUAAGGAAAGACACACAUUAAAAAUAUGAAAAUAAACCUAAAUUGCUCAGCAGGUUGGGAGUGUUCCAUGGAAAGGCAAACAGCCUCACCCCAAUGGCAUCCUCCCAUUUUAACUCGUGUUUGACAACUGCGGUGGUUAAUCUGAGUCAACAACAGAGUGUGAUGAUGUUAAAUAACCUCUCUUUAAACAGUCAGGAAAGAAAAGGCCACCUCCACCUUCCCAGCAGGCUCGGGCGUUGUCGCGUAACCAUUCAAGGCGCCGCCAAGCCUGGAGCUCAGGGUUCCAAGGCCAGCUCCGUCCCCUCCUGUGUGAGAGUGGCUGUCCUAGGGUUGCGAGAGCUGAGGGACUGGGGCUUGGGCAAAGCCUUGGCCUGUCCUUGGUGAACCCAGAACAAGAAGACAAAGCGGCCAUUGUGGUCGUGGCCUCGAGUGUGCGGGAGGCGCCGGUUUCUGCAAGGCCUCCAUUCCCUCUUCUCCAGCCUCAGACUGAUGCCCUCCAGCCCCCUGGACUCGGACUGCAGGCCCGAUCUGUCAGCCCUGAGGCGGGUGAUGCUCAGCCUUCACAGGUGGCGUGUGGGACGCCAGCCCCAGGCCGCAUGGGCUCACCUGUUACCUCGCCUGGGUGGUGAGAAGUACGGCCAAGGGGCUGGGUGGAUGAAGGACUCUCGCAUGGCUCCAAUUUCA
ensembl:lncRNA